rnacentral:rRNA from 1 species
AACGAACGCUGGCGGCAUGCCUAACACAUGCAAGUCGAACGAGACCUUCGGGUCUAGUUGCGCACGGGUGCGUAACGCGUGGGAACCUGCCCUUAGGCUCGGAAUAACUCCCCGAAAGGGGUGCUCAUACCGGGUAAUGUCUUAGGACCAACGAUUUAUCGCCUUAGGAUGGGCCCGCGUUGGAUUAGCUAGUUGGUAGGGUAAAAGCCUGCCAAGGCGAUGAUCCAUAGCUGGUCUGAGACGAGGAUCAGCCACAAUGGGACUGAGACACGGCCCAGAAUCCUACGGGAGGCAGCAGUGGGGAAUAUUGGACAAGGGGCGAAAGUCUGACCCAGCCAUGCCGCGGGAGUGAGGAAGGGCUUAGGGUUGUAAAGCUCGCUUACACGGAAUGAUAAUGACAGUACCGGGAGAAUAAGCUCCGGCUAACUCCGUG